AGUGAACGCUGGCGGUAGGCCUAACACAUGCAAGUCGAACGGCAGCACAGAAAGAGCUUGCUCUUACGGGUGGCGAGUGGCGGACGGGUGAGAAUACAUCGGAAUCUACUUUUUCGUGGGGGAUAACGUAGGGAAACUUACGCUAAUACCGCAUACGACCUACGGGUGAAAGCAGGGGAUCUUCGGACCUUGCGCGAUUGAAUGAGCCGAUGUCGGAUUAGCUAGUUGGCGGGGUAAAGGCCCACCAAGGCGACGAUCCGUAGCUGGUCUGAGAGGAUGAUCAGCCACACUGGAACUGAGACACGGUCCAGACUCCUACGGGAGGCAGCAGUGGGGAAUAUUGGACAAUGGGCGCAAUCCUGAUCCAGCCAUACCGCGUGGGUGAAGAAGGCCUUCGGGUUGUAAAGCCCUUUUGUUGGGAAAGAAAAGCAGCAGGUUAAUACCCCGCUGUUCUGACGGUACCCAAAGAAUAAGCACCGGCUAACUUCGUG
rnacentral:rRNA from 1 species